GAUGAACGCUGGCGGCGUGCCUAAUACAUGCAAGUCGAGCGAACGGACGAGAAGCUUGCUUCUCUGAUGUUAGCGGCGGACGGGUGAGUAACACGUGGAUAACCUACCUAUAAGACUGGGAUAACUUCGGGAAACCGGAGCUAAUACCGGAUGAUAUUUUGAACCGCAUGGUUCAAAAGUGAAAGACGGUCUUGCUGUCACUUAUAGAUGGAUCCGCGCUGCAUUAGCUAGUUGGUAAGGUAACGGCUUACCAAGGCAACGAUGCAUAGCCGACCUGAGAGGGUGAUCGGCCACACUGGAACUGAAACACGGUCCAGACUCCUACGGGAGGCAGCAGUAGGGAAUCUUCCGCAAUGGGCGAAAGCCUGACGGAGCAACGCCGCGUGAGUGAUGAAGGUCUUCGGAUCGUAAAACUCUGUUAUUAGGGAAGAACAUAUGUGUAAGUAACUGUGCACAUCUUGACGGUACCUAAUCAGAAAGCCACGGCUAACUACGUG
rnacentral:rRNA from 1 species